rnacentral:rRNA from 1 species
GACGAACGCUGGCGGCGUGCUUAACACAUGCAAGUCGAACGAUGAAGAAGAGAAACGCGAACUUCGGUUCAAAUUUCACUUCGGAUUAGUGGCAGACGGUUGAGUAACGCGUGAGCAACCUACCUCUUACAAAGGGAUAGCCUCGGGAAACCGUGAUAAGUACCAGAUGACACAUUCAUAAGGCAUCUUAAGAAUGUUAAAGCUACGGCGGUAAGAGAUGGGCUCGCGUCCCAUUAGCUAGUUGGGGAGGUAACGGCCCACCAAGGCGACGAUGGGUAACCGGGCUGAGAGGCUGAACGGUCACAUUGGAACUGAGACACGGUCCAAACUCCUACGGGAGGCAGCAGUGGGGAAUAUUGCACAAUGGAGGGAACUCUGAUGCAGCGCCGCCGCGUGAGCGAUGAAGGAAUUCGUUUCGUAAAGCUCUGUUCUAUGGGAAGAAAAGGACUGUACCAUAGGAGAAAGCCCCGGCUAACUACGUG